rnacentral:rRNA from 1 species
UACGACUACAUAUAAGGCAUAUCAAUAAGCGGAGGAAAAGAAACUAACAAGGAUUCCCUUAGUAACGGCGAGUGAAGCGGGAAGAGCUCAAAUUGAAAUCUUCAAGGUUUUACCUUGACGAAUUGUAGUUUAAAGAAGUGUUUUCUGUUGAAGUUUCGGUAAAAGUUCUUUGGAAUAGGACAUCAUAGAGGGUGAGAAUCCCGUAUUUGGUCAUUCCUUCUAGCUUUGUGAUACACUUUCAAAGAGUCGGAUUGUUUGGGAAUGCAGUCCAAAAUGGGUGGUAAAUUUCAUCUAAAGCUAAAUAUUGGCGAGAGACCGAUAGCGAACAAGUACCGUGAGGGAAAGAUGAAAAAACUUUGAAAAGAGAGUUAAACAGUACGUGAAAUUGUCAAAAGGGAAGCGUUUGACACCAGUGUUGUUUUCUCGAAAAUCAAUUAAAAAUGACUUGGAUUUUGUGUUGUAUUGACCUUAUAAGCUUUCUGCACUUUUUUCUUGUUAUUUUUAAUGCACUUUUCGUUUAACAAGUCAACAUCAGUUUCUUUUGUUGUAAAAAGGUCAUUGGAAGGUGGCUUUCUUUUCGGAGAAAGUGUUUAUAGCCUUUGACUCCUGCAAUCGGAGAGACUGAGGUCUGCAGCGUAGAUCCUUUUUUGGAUUAGAUUCAUUUGUGCUAAGUUAUAGCUUUUUAUAGACAACAUGUUGACUAUAUUUAGUCUUGUAGCUUACUCGCUUAUGUAAUUUUACCUACGCUUAGGAUGUUGAACGCGCACAGAGUCUC